rnacentral:rRNA from 1 species
UACGAAGGGGGCUAGCGUUGCUCGGAAUCACUGGGCGUAAAGCGCUCGUAGGCGGAUUGUUAAGUCGGGGGUGAAAUCCUGGAGCUCAACUCCAGAACUGCCUUCGAUACUGGCAAUCUUGAGUUCGGGAGAGGAUGGUGGAAUUCCCAGUGUAGAGGUGAAAUUCGUAGAUAUUGGGAAGAACACCGAUGGCGAAGGCAGCCAUCUGGACCGACACUGACGCUGAGGCGCGAAAGCGUGGGGAGCAAACAGGAU